GAUGAACGCUGGCGGCGUGCCUAACACAUGCAAGUCGAGCGAGAACCGCUGGAAUGACACUUCGGUAGAAUGAAAGCGGGGAAAGCGGCGGACGGGUGAGUAACGCGUAGGUAACCUGCCCCAUACACAGGGAUAGCCUAGGGAAACCUGGAUUAAUACCUGAUGAAGCAACUGGUCGCAUGACCGGCUGCCAAAGAUUUAUCGGUAUGGGAUGGACCUGCGUCUGAUUAGUGAGUUGGUGGGGUAAUGGCCUACCAAAGCGACGAUCAGUAGCCGACCUGAGAGGGUGAUCGGCCACAUUGGAACUGAGACACGGUCCAAACUCCUGCGGGAGGCAGCAGUGGGGGAUAUUGCACAAUGGGCGGAAGCCUGAUGCAGCAACGCCGCGUGAGCGAAGAAGGUCUUCGGAUCGUAAAGCUCUGUCCUGGGGGAAAACGAAAUGACGGUACCCCGGGAGGAAGCCCCGGCUAACUACGUGCCAGCAGCCGCGGUAAAACGU
rnacentral:rRNA from 1 species